AGACAUUAUCCUUCGAAUAAAGACUUUGAAUCGUUUUCAAAGGGAGGAUGCUACUUUUAGUGUCGGUUUCGAUGCUGAAAGUAGACGGGUUCUAUCCGUAAAAUUGGUUUUUCUAUGUCUCAAUUGAUUUUCUUGAAUUGCUGGCUGUCCUUUUUUUGUUUCCAUGUUUCGGGCUUAAUAUUUGAUAUUUUUCCUUGAUUGGGUUUUUAAUGUUCCUUAAAUUGCUACCUUUUCGAAGCCUUUGGCUGAGAGCAUUUGAUGGGUUCAUCUUUUAUGGGUUUAUGAUUCAAACUGAAGAUAUAUGGUUUGAUCGGAUGAGAACAAUCCAUGAGUGAUUCGGCCCGAAAUUCUUGAAGCUAUACUUCAUUCGAUUUGGGUUUCCACAUAUUUUAGCUCGAACCAACUUCAUCCCAUUUAUCAGUUGGGUUUUCAAAGUCCAGCUUCCACCAUGAUUAACAUUGCUAACUUUACAAUUGUGGCCACAGCCAACAUGUUCACUAUAGAAAUAAAGAAUAAACAACUAUUCGUAGGCGGGCUGGUUGUUCCAGAGAAAAAAGUUUCAGAGGUUUGGCAUCUACACAAGAAAAGGAUAUCACCUGUAGCACACAAGGUGCUGGAAAUAAGCCAUUGCAGUGACAACAUCAAAUGUCCAUUUGUUGAGAAUGUUUCAAGUUGGGCGAGAUGCAACUCAUCACAACAUGGGUGGCUCUGUAAGGAGGGAACCUGCUCUUGCACCCAAAAGAGUUGCAAAGGCCAUGACGUUGACAUUAUGCACUUUUCGAUUGGAAAUGCUGUAGGAGGACGCAUCUAUGGUUGCAAUCCAAUAGACAACAAAGAAUAAAAUGGAGAUGACAGGUUUGGUCAUUUGGUUGAUCUUUAUGCCUGGGAACCCACACUGCAGAUACUUGGAUGGAGUUUGUCCUUCAGGUAAAUACUAAAAUUUACCAUUCAUUUGCUCUUUCUUUAUAGGAUAUGAAAGGCAUGUGAUGAGGGGACUUUCUUUAAAGGUAGAAAAUAAGGUGGCACAGGGCAUUAGAAAAAGUGACUACAAGGACUGCUAAAGCAUUAAAUCGAAAGAGCUUCAAAUUUUUUACAGCAUGGUCAAAGCAUUAAAGCAUGAAAUUGUUCAUUUCAUCUUUCGUGGACACCGACAUCACCUGACAUUUGUAUUCUACCCAUUAUGGUAAACUACAAUAAGUUUCUUUAAUACCUGUAAUCACCAUUAGGCAUAACUUUAGUAUUUCCAGUAUUUACAAAUUCUGAAAUACAUCGUCUGCCUUACCAUUAUUUCCUCCGAGCUUCGCUGUUUAUUGAUGAUGUAUUUAUAUACUCUUUUGACUGAAAUGACUACUUGGUAUCCCCAAAUUAAUGGAUUGAUAAACCAUAUUGCUUUUACAUAACCAAUGGCAAUAAUUUUGAUGCAAGCUCUAAUUAAUCAGUGAGACAAGAGGGAUUCGUAGUUCAUAUAGUUGAGAAUAAGGUUUGAAGUGUAGUACAAAUAACAUUGCUCUCAAGACACACUCAAACACACAGCCACAUUUAAACAUUGGUAGUUACGAACAGGUACUAGAGGAAUACGUACUAGAGCACUAUUAUUUGGGAUGUUAGUUUAUGAAAGAGUCCCUCUUCUUAAACUUGAAGGCUAUCCUAAUACAUUUCUUUCCAAAAUGUUUUAUUUACACUUUAUUGGCAAAGUUCAAUGUAUGCUCAUGUCUUUGAAAGUUAGUGAAUCUUUAUGCUAAAAAAUUCCUUGACAAAUGAGAGAGAAAAUGAAGUAGCUCUAAAAUUUAAUUGUGGAUGUCAAAGAUUUGUUUUUGCUAACGUUUCUUUAAUAUGCAUGAGUCCAAACUCUUGAACAACACAUAUUUCAAGAUUACCUUAUUUAAUUGAGAUACUUGCUUUGCUUUUCUCAGUUAUUGGGGUUGUUUAAGAUCGUUCACCGGGUUGCAUUCAGAACUGUGACUGAUUGGUUCUCUCUGAUUUUUUCCUUAUGUGUUUACU